rnacentral:lncRNA from 1 species
GGCUUUUCUAGGGACUCCGAGACCUCCACAUCUUUCCUUUUUGGCUGCAGACCAUUAUCUCUGUGGUGUCACAGCAGAUCUGAGCUGAGCGUGAUACCUCAGAUCUUCUUGGUGGCCAUGCCCCUCGUAAGGCAUCUCUGUAGAAAGCUGGCCUGGUUCCUGGUGAGCAGGCACCACUGCUCGUAUGGCAUCCCUCGUGGUGCCCAGGCCCUCUCCUCCUUGCCACUGCUCACUCAGCAGGGUCCCAGUCUGCCCUGAUGGGUGGGGUUUCUCUUCCUCUGGUACAGGACUGGGCUCUUCUCCAUGUAAAUGUCAAAUGUUUUCUGAAGUCAAAAUCUGCAGUUUCUCAAGGUUCACCCACAGUGAUGCUCCAUUCAACUGCAUGAAGUUCAACAAGGCCAAGUGCUGGGUCCUGCACCUGGGGCGCAAUAACCCCAAGCAGAGCUACAUGCUGGGAGAUGAGUGGUUGGAGAGCUGCCAGGCAGAGAAGGACCUGGGAGUGAUGGUGGACAGUCUGCUGAAUAGGAGCCAGCAGUGUGCUCAGGUGGCCAAGAAGGCCAACGGCAUCCUGGCUUGUAUCAGAAACAGUGUGACCAGCAGGGCUAGGGAGGUGAUCGUCCCCCUGUACUCGGCUCUGGUGAGGCCGCACCUCGAGUACUGUGUUCAGUUUUGGGCCCCCCGCUACAAGAAGGACAUCGAGGUGCUUGAGCGGGUCCAGAGAAGGGUAACGAAGCUGGUGAGGGGCCUGGAGAACAAGUCCUACGAGGAGCGGCUGAAGGAGCUGGGCUUGUUCAGCCUGGAGAAGAGGAAGCUCAGGGGCGACCUUAUUGUUCUUUACAGAUACCUUAAAGGAGGCUGUAGCGAGGUGGGGGUUGGUCUGUUCUCCCUCGUGCCUGGUGACAGGACGAGGGGAAAUGGUCUAAAGUUGCGCCAGGGGAGUUUUAGGUUGGAUCUUAGGAAGAACUUCUUUACCGAAAGGGUUGUUAGACAUUGGAACAGGCUGCCCAGGGAAGUG